GUGGGGAAUAUUGGGCAAUGGGGGAAACCCUGACCCAGCAACGCCGCGUGAAGGAAGAAGGCUUUCGGGUUGUAAACUUCUUUUAUGAGGGACGAAGAAGUGACGGUACCUCAUGAAUAAGCCACGGCUAACUACGUGCCAGCAGCCGCGGUAAUACGUAGGUGGCAAGCGUUGUCCGGAUUUACUGGGUGUAAAGGGCGCGUAGGCGGGAUAGCAAGUCAGGUGUGAAAUCCGGGGGCUUAACCCUCGAACUGCACUUGAAACUGUUAUUCUUGAGUGAUGGAGAGGCAAGCGGAAUUCCUAGUGUAGCGGUGAAAUGCGUAGAUAUUAGGAGGAACACCAGUGGCGAAGGCGGCUUGCUGGACAUUAACUGACGCUGAGGCGCGAAAGCGUGGGGAGCAAACAGGAUUAGAAACCCCGGUAGUCC
rnacentral:rRNA from 1 species